UAGAUAGCAAUCCUGGAUCCAGGGGACCCACCCUUUGCUGUCCCUGUACCGAGGCCGUAGUAGGAUGCACCAGCAACAGAUGCGCCAGCAGCAGUGGACGCAGUGUGGGUUCCAUGACCAAUCAUGUCUCUUGUAAACCAAUGAUGGUGUCCACUCCUAGGUCGUCAGUCGCAGUGGGCUUCACUGAUGAAUCGUGAUGAUGGUCAUGUAGAUUUGCAGUAGCAGUAGCAUGCUGAUCGUAGUUCUUACUAUUAAUUAUAAGAUCAGUUUGAAGCUGAAGGAAGUCCCAAGAUCGAGUGGUGUGGAGCUGAAAGACAGGGUCUACAAACACAGAAACAACUGAUGAGCUAGAUGAGCUUUUUGCUCGAGUGGCCUCUUCUUUUGUCAAACGGGCAGCAAAUCCUGAAAAUCCAUGGCUGUAACUGUGCACCAGCCUCUUCUCUGCUUCAGCUGCUCCAUAGUGUAUCGACUGCUUCACCUUCCUGCAUGUAUCACAACAUGAGCAGUUUUGAUGUUAUAUGUAAUCAAACAUGUAAGUAAAUUAGUGAUGAUUAACUUCAAUUUAUAGGUGAAAUAUAUGUUCUGUCUAUAAAGCUAGGUGAUGUUGUGGGACGGAGGACCUGUCUACUUGUAAAAAUGAAGCAAGAAGCUUUAGGUGGUGUUCUCUCAAGCUGCUAGAUGUUUCUCUCCUUGCCUGGGUAUGUUGCUGUGAAGUUGAAGCUGAUGGCACUGAUCCCAUGUAUAUAAUGUACACACUUAAUUUGUUAUAAUUAUCAUUACUAUUUCGAUAAGAAAUCUUAUUCUCGGGCAGGUAUUGAUCUGUUCUCUCUCCAGUCAUCACUGCUAGACAUGAUAAUGACGAGGUAGAUAGUAGAAACAAGAAAAACGAUAUACAUGAGAGAAAGCCUGGAAGUAGGCGGCCAAGGUUGCUGCUGUCACCAAUCAUCUUGUUAGUUUUUACUAGCUUAUGGUUGAACUAUAUGGUUGAACUAUCUAGUACUGAUGUAUUGUUUUUUGCUAUAUUUAGAUACAGAGGGGAUUGCAAGGAAUGAUGAAGUUGGUGUGUUGGAACUGUCGAGUCAGUUGCUGCUAUAUAUAUACAUAGUUUUUUGCGUUGU